UACGGGGGGGGCAAGCGUUGUUCGGAAUUACUGGGCGUAAAGGGCGCGUAGGCGGCCCGCCGCGUCCGGGGUGAAAUCCUCCCGCUCAACGGGAGAACGGCCUCGGAUACGGGCGGGCUGGAGGGGGGUAGGGGCGGGCGGAACUGUGGGUGGAGCGGUGAAAUGCGUUGAGAUCCACAGGAACUCCGGAGGCGAAGGCGGCUCACUGGGGGUUUUCUGACGCUGAGGAACGAAAGCCAGGGGAGCGAACGGG
rnacentral:rRNA from 1 species